AUUGAACGCUGGCGGCAUGCCUUACACAUGCAAGUCGAACGGCAGCACGGGAGCUUGCUCCUGGUGGCGAGUGGCGAACGGGUGAGUAAUACAUCGGAACGUACCCAGGAGUGGGGGAUAACGUAGCGAAAGUUACGCUAAUACCGCAUAUUCUGUGAGCAGGAAAGCGGGGGAUCGCAAGACCUCGCGCUCUUGGAGCGGCCGAUGUCGGAUUAGCUAGUUGGUGAGGUAAAAGCUCACCAAGGCGACGAUCCGUAGCAGGUCUGAGAGGAUGAUCUGCCACACUGGGACUGAGACACGGCCCAGACUCCUACGGGAGGCAGCAGUGGGGAAUUUUGGACAAUGGGGGCAACCCUGAUCCAGCCAUGCCGCGUGAGUGAAGAAGGCCUUCGGGUUGUAAAGCUCUUUCGGCGGGGAAGAAAUGGCAACGGCUAAUAUCCGUUGUUGAUGACGGUACCCGCAUAAGAAGCACCGGCUAACUACGUGCCAGCCGCCGCGGUAAGAC
rnacentral:rRNA from 1 species